rnacentral:rRNA from 1 species
UAGGGAAUCUUCCGCAAUGGGCGAAAGCUUGACGGAGCAACGCCGCGUGAGUGAUGAAGGUCUUCGGAUCGUAAAACUCUGUUAUUAGGGAAGAACAAAUGUGUAAGUAACUAUGCACGUCUUGACGGUACCUAAUCAGAAAGCCACGGCUAACUACGUGCCAGCAGCCGCGGUAAUACGUAGGUGGCAAGCGUUAUCCGGAAUUAUUGGGCGUAAAGCGCGCGUAGGCGGUUUUUUAAGUCUGAUGUGAAAGCCCACGGCUCAACCGGGGAGGGUCAUUGGAAACUGGAAAACUUGAGUGCAGAAGAGGAAAGUGGAAUUCCAUGUGUAGCGGUGAAAUGCGCAGAGAUAUGGAGGAACACCAGUGGCGAAGGCGACUUUCUGGUCUGUAACUGACGCUGAUGUGCGAAAGCGUGGGGAUCAAACAGG